GGACAGCACUCCAACCAACUGAGCCAUACCGGCCAAAAAAGGAGUCAAAUCCUGUGGCAAAUCAAAUAUGUGAAGUCUCCAGUUUACGAAGAAAUUGAAUUUGCAAUGAUUCUUAUGAGGCUAAGUGUAAAAUUAAAAUUCUUGAUUAUCA